rnacentral:rRNA from 1 species
GACGAACGCUGGCGGCGUGCUUAACACAUGCAAGUCGAACGGAGCGAAUGAAAGCUUGCUUUUAUGAGCUUAGUGGCAAACGGGUGAGUAACACGUAGACAACCUGCCGACAGGAUGGGGACAACAUUCCGAAAGGAAUGCUAAUACCGAAUGAAGCGAGGAGAGGCAUCUCUCCUCCGUGAAAGAUGGCCUCUAUUUAUAAGCUAUCACCUGUCGAUGGGUCUGCGUCUGAUUAGCUAGUUGGUGAGGUAACGGCUCACCAAGGCGACGAUCAGUAGCCGGUCUGAGAGGAUGAACGGCCACAUUGGGACUGAGACACGGCCCAGACUCCUACGGGAGGCAGCAGUGGGGAAUCUUCCGCAAUGGGCGCAAGCCUGACGGAGCAACGCCGCGUGAGUGAAGAAGGUCUUCGGAUCGUAAAGCUCUGUUGACGGGGACGAACGUGCGAAGGGUGAAUAAUCCUUGUAAUGACGGACCUUCGAGAGCC